GACGAACGCUGGCGGCGUGCUUAACACAUGCAAGUCGAACGCUGAAGCUCAGCUUUUGUUGGGUGGAUGAGUGGCGAGCGGGUGAGUAACACGUGAGUAACCUGCCUCCUUCUUUGGGAUAACGCCCGGAAACGGGUGCUAAUACUGGAUAUUCACUGGUCUUCGCAUGGGGGUUGGUGGAAAGGGUUUUUCUGGUGGGGGAUGGGCUCGCGGCCUAUCAGCUUGUUGGUGGGGUGAUGGCCUACCAAGGCUUUGACGGGUAGCCGGCCUGAGAGGGUGACCGGUCACAUUGGGACUGAGAUACGGCCCAGACUACGACGGGAGGCAGCAGUGGGGAAUAUUGCACAAUGGGCGCAAGCCUGAUGCAGCGACGCCGCGUGAGGGAUGGAGGCCUUCGGGUUGUGAACCUCUUUCGCUCAUGGUCAAGCCGCAACAAUGGUUGUGGUGAGGGUAGUGUGUAAGGAAGCGCCGGCUAACUACGUG
rnacentral:rRNA from 1 species